GAUUAACGCUGGCGGCGUGCAUAACACAUGCAAGUCGAACGAUGAAACUUAGGAUACUUCUUCGGAAAGACACUAAGCGGGUUAGUGGCGAACGGGUGGGUAACGCGUGAGUAACCUGCCUUACACAAGGGGAUAGCCUUUGUAAACGAAGAAUAAUACCCUAUAAAACUAUAAAAGCACAUGUUAGAAUGGUCAAAGUGAUAGCGGUGUGAGAUGGACUUUCGUCUGAUUAUCUAGUUGGUGAGAUAAAAGCUCACCAAGGCGAAGCUCAGUAGCCGGCUUGAGAGAGUAUACGGCGACAUUGGGACUGAGACAAGGCCCAGACUCCGAAGGGAGGCAGCAGUGGGGAAUUUUGCCCCAUGGGGGAAACCCUGACGCAGCGACGCCGAGUGAUUCAGAAGGCCUUCGGGUUGUAAAAAUCUUUUGUAUAGGAAGAAAAUGACAGUACUAUAAGAAUAAGGUCCGGCUAAUUACGUG
rnacentral:rRNA from 1 species